CGUUUUAUACUGUAUAUAUAUAUAUAAAGUUUUUUUAUUGAAUAGCAAUUAUCAGGUAUAAUAAUUGUCAAUUGAUAUUGUUAAGUGAUUACCACAGACAUUUAAUCAUAAUUUUAAGUAUCUUAUAUCUUAUAUUAAUUACUUAAUAUAUAUGCUAAUUUGUUAUAUUAGGUAAUUACUGAAUUUCCCUUUAUUAUUUAUUAAUAACUAUAUUAACAUUUAUAACAAAAAAGAAAUUUGUUUUGUUUUUAUUUUAUUCUAAAUUUAAAAAAAUUCACCAAGUUAAUGUGAUAUGUUAAUUUAUAAGUUUAAAUACUUAAUACAAUUUAAAAUUAUAAUAAUUAUAAACUUCAAAGAAAAAAUAUAUAAUUCCUUACGUUUUAGUUAGGCCCAGUCUCGCCAACGUAAACGUUGAUUUUUGAAAAAAGUUUAUAAGAUAAUCGAUCAAUCGUGGAUUUUGAAUUUCGAAAUUUACGAGUGAAUAUUAUAUUUUCGUAUCGAUUUCUAGUUUCCCCUGUUUACGAGGAUACUUUUUUAGUUUCAUACUACUAUUAUGGAAAACCGUUAUUGAGCAAUUGUUUAUAUUACUCGGUUGUCACGAGCGACGCCACUACGACGACAGGGCUUCGUUAGUCGCGAUAAUGUAGAAGGGAAUCCAAUAUUCCGACGCUGAUAAGUUUUCUAUUGCAAAUAAAAAUAAUAUAAUAAACUAGGUUGCUCUGUCACACCGCAUUGCUUUUGGCUAAAGCAUCACGGCAAUAAUUUAAUUCCAGGUUCAUGGGCAUUAUCGUAUAGUAUUGUGUCAUUCUACUUACCAUUGUUACCGCGGUGACCAAGACCGUGAUUUUUAAUAAUACAACAGUUAUCACGAUUUAAAAUGGAACGAUAAGACUCAUGAACCUCGAAUUAAAUAGCGGCGGAUAGGAAAAUUCCCACGUCUUACCACCAGUUAACAAUCUAGUUCAUUAUAAUAUAUAGGAAUAUAUCUGAUAUGCUGCGUUGUCUAAUAAGUCCAUUGGCUAACUCAUUUUUCCUCGCAAUAUUAUGACCAAUUGAAAAUUUAAAAUAAGAUGUAAUAAUAAUAAUAAUAAUAAUAAUAAUCCGUAGUAAUAAUAAUUUCAUAUAGAUACUUAAUAUAGUCUUAUAACACGCCUCGUUGACUGGCUUGUCUAGCGCAUACGGGUGUACACAAAAACAUGCUUACAAAGAUAAUAUUAUUAUAGUUUAUA